GGUAGGUACCUACUACUUUCUUGUGUUUCUUUGUUACAAAUUGUCUGUCUGCAAGAACUGGAACUUACAAGUUUAUCGACUCAAGCCCUGCUUUCCCGUUUUUGCGUCGCAAUUCUACCGUAGAAACUUCCAGAAAUGUCAAAUGUGUUUUGGAUAGAGCUGAAAAAAGUUUGUGGAUGAUGUUAAUGUUCGUUGAUAAAUUGCAAUACAUGGUUGUUUGACUCCAUUGCCACAUUCUGUUGAAACCAAACCUACAAAUGAAUACAAUGCAUGAAUGUGGAGCUUAGCUCUGAACUGGUGUCUUUAAUAGAAAAAAAUGGCGUGGACAUGAUACGGUGACUUUGUCAUAAUUAACUCAUACUAAGCAACAACAACAAUAACAACUGCUGAAGAAUGUUCCAGUCUGAGAGUUAGACACAAUUGUAUCUGUAUAAGUUGUGAAAUAUCUUUGGGAAGGCACUCAGAAAGACAAAAUUACAGGCCACAGACUUAUGAUGUCUGAUGGAUGCUGGUGCAUGCCUUGUUUGCAGGAUGAGCUUACCUCAAAAGCAUUAAUAUCUAGUGAAUGUUAAAACUGUAUUAAGUGUGACGUUGCAUUAUAUGUAGUUAGUA
rnacentral:lncRNA from 1 species